rnacentral:rRNA from 1 species
UGGGGAAUAUUGGACAAUGGGCGAAAGCCUGAUCCAGCCAUGCCGCGUGAGUGAUGAAGGCCUUAGGGUUGUAAAGCUCUUUUAGCAGGGAAGAUAAUGACGGUACCUGCAGAAAAAGCCCCGGCUAACUUCGUGCCAGCAGCCGCGGUAAUACGAAGGGGGCUAGCGUUGCUCGGAAUUACUGGGCGUAAAGCGCACGUAGGCGGACUCUUAAGUCGGUGGUGAAAUCCUGGAGCUCAACUCCAGAACUGCCUUCGAUACUGGGAGUCUUGAGUUCGGGAGAGGUGAGUGGAACUGCGAGUGUAGAGGUUAAAUUCGUAGAUAUUCGCAAGAACACCAGUGGCGAAGGCGGCUCACUGGCCCGAUACUGACGCUGAGGUGCGAAAGCGUGGGGAGCAAACA